GAUUUUAUAACAAUGGAAGAAAAUCAAGAUUUAUUACAACUCUAUUGUAAAAUAAUACAAGGACUAAACUAAGAAAUUGAUUAAAUAUAUGUUACAAUACAUAUAUAUACACUUUAUAUUAUAUAUAUAUAUGAAAGGUAGAAGAGAAGAUAGAUUACACAAUAUUAUAUAACACAUACAUAUAUAUAAUAUGAAGAAGAAAAAGAAGAUCACUCACUCACAACCUUGAGUGUAGAUUAGUGGGGAUCACCAUGGCUUGAACAAGGUAUUACACCUUUGUCCAAAAGCUUAUUUCCCCCUAUCUCUAAGCACUAAGGGAACUCUCAUGGAAAUAGCUUUGGAAAUUAUCAAGCCUUUUAGGGUUUUCUAGCAAAGUGCUUUCUUGAUAGAAAACUUCAUCUCCAAAAUGAGCACCUUAGACCUCUUUAUAUAGUGUUUAGGAUAUCAUCACCAUUUGAAAUUCAAACUCAUAACCCCAUAGAUGUUAUGGACUCAAAUGUAACUCCUACACACACCAUAACUCCUAUAGCAUUAAGAAUUUCAAAUUAAGAGGUGUAACAUCUUUUUACACUCUUAAUGUUGGUGAUGAUGGUGGAGGUUACUCAUAGUAACAAGUAACUCCCAAAUGUUACAAAAAGAUGACAACUAAUAUACAUUGUCAUAUGUUACAUAUUAUUAGUAGGGGUGUUCACAAAGUAUCCGAUCCAAUCCAAUCCGCACGAUCCAAUCCAAUCCAAUCCGCAAAAUGCGGAUAUCCGCACUUGUGCGGAUUGGAUUGGAUUGAAAAAUUUGAAAUCCGCACUUGUGCGGAUUGGAUGUUGUUUGACCUCAAAAAGUAACCGAUCCAAUCCAAUCCGCACAUAAUUAUAUAUUUAAAAAAAUUAUAAUAUAUAUAAUAUUAUAUAUAUAUAAAAUAAUCUGACCUUUUUUUUUAACAUUAAAAUAAUCUGACCUAAAAAAUAAUUUGACCUAAAAAAUUCUAAACCUAAUAAUCGUAUACUCUCUUUCUCCUACAGGCUACAGCCGUUUCUCCUACAGACAGCCAUUUCAUCUCCUACCACCAUUCCUAACGAUUGAGAAAUCGACUGAGCCCUUGUCGACCAGUCAUCGGCCUACUUCAUGCACCUUAACAGCGACCAUCUCUUCAAUCACCUGAGAAAUCGACCAUCUCUUUAGCGAUGGAGAUGGAGAGAGAUGAUUGUGUAGGAGUAUCAAAACAGAUUGAAAUUUCAUCUCCAAUUGAGUCCAUCAAUGAAAGUCACCCUCAAGCAAAUAGUUUUCAAAUUAACAAAAGUGGAGCUGCAAACAUAAUGAUGAGCUCUAAUAGUAUCUUCUUUUUUUUUUUUUUUGCUGAAAUGGAUUUGGAACAUGUUUCUUUUUUUUUUUUUUUUUUUUUUUGCUGAAUUGGAUUUAGAAUAUGGAACUUGUUUUUUUUUUAGAUUUGGAUUAUAAAAUUAUCCCUUAUGAACUGGUUGUGUAGCCUACUGCUACCUACUGUUAUUGUUAUGUGUAGGUUUUUUUUUAUGCAUUUAAUUUUUUGAUGAAA